UGUGUAAACAGCAGAGCCAGCGGUUUGGACUGAAGCACCCAGCAGGCUUUAAGCCCGGAGGUGAGGGCCUUGCUCUGGUUACUCUGUGGGAUGUGUCCUAAUCAAGCUGCUCCAGCUCUGAGAUCCAACAUCCUCACCUAUGCUCCGGGACAGCUGAGGAUGCCGCAACCCCUGCCCCUGCUGCUGACGAGGAGGGCUUAUGGGAAUCCCUGCGUUUAAUACGCAUCACAGCGAGCGCUGCUGAAGACCUUUGCAACAUGAACUUCCACUUACUGCCCAGGGCUCACCCAAUGUUAGGAGGCCUCAGCCUCCAGAAUCUAUUCAUUCAGGAAAGCAAAACACAGCUCCAAGGAAUUCCGAGAGCCAUUUCUCCAGCUCAAGUUGUGGCACAGUUGUAGUCUCUCCCUUCCUUCUGCUGAUGCUGUUUGCGGCAUGGGGGUCUAGAAGUGGGGGCUCCCAGCAGGUGGGAGCCCCUCACUGCUGCUGGGUGGUCCUGACACCCUCCCCAGUCCAAAACAAACGGAAGCAAAAACUGACCUGUGACUACCCAAUAAAACACCACGUGUGCUCAUUAGCCGCACCACCACGUGGGACUUUGUGCUCCUGUUAACACCAGGGGCCUCUGAGAAACUGCAACACGCCUGCCAAGACUUCAUCAAGCGGACGGAAACCUGAGGAUGAGUGUGCACCUUGAUACAGGCUGCUCUCACUGCCUGGCAGGACCUCGUGCUCUGGGUCAUGAAAAUGCACAAGUUACCCAGUUUAUCAAGACCUUUGAGCUGACCGGAGCUGAGAGGAGGAACAGGGAAAAAAGACUGCCCCUGGGGAGUCUGUCUCCCUUUUCUGGAGGAGACAGGCACACUGAGGCAAAAGCUGUGCGGGGUGAAGGAGGAACAGAAACGUGGCUUUCUUUCUCCGAGUGCCCCACACACUCACAUCAAGAGCUAUGGGCAGGUAGGCACUACGGGGGGACUUGUGGGCAUUGAGUGGACUCCGGACCCCACAAACCCAGGUGCUUGGGUGUGGGACACUAGAUUGGAAAGCUGUAACCUCCAUACCAGGAGCAGGCCUCCCGGGAGGAGGCUGGAACCUCACCGAACGGAGCAGGAAGGAAGGUGGGCAUCAAGGUCUUGCCACGUGGGACACUCACCUGAUCGAGUGCCUGUGAUUUGGCAAAUGGUAGUGGUGACAUUGUCCCAGGUUGUCACUGGCAUGUGGAAUUUGGGUUGGUUCUAAAGGACAGUUGGGAUCUAAGCAGCGGCCUAUAGGGACAGCCUUGGAGGCUCUUCCCAUAGGAGGGUUUACAGGACCAUGGAGCCUAGAAGUGGAAAUGCAUAUGGUGGCAAGACUCGGAACUUUAUUUAGGGAAGAAUUUGCAGAAUUUUAUUGUCCUUGAGUUGCAUUCUGGUAAGUUGGCCUAAAACAUUAGAUUCGGACAUGGUGUGCUCUAACGAAGGCAGGGGACAGGCAUCAUUGUGUAGAGUUCAAUGAAACUUGGACAACAGAACGUUGAGAAUAAACAUUACCCAAAUUGUUGUUGACCACUUGUCAGCUCCCUUUCAGUUGAUACAGCAGGCUAAAAAUAAGAUGACACGGCGAUCAGAAUUGCUGGCUGAGGGGAGGGUACGUACAUCCACCCGGAAUCUUCUAGAACCUUCGGAGAAGCCUGGCUCCAACGGCUGCACCUACUGCUCUCCCGAGCUGGCUUCCCCUGGCUGCCCUUCUCUGAAGCAUGGCUACCUCUUCACUCUCACCAAAACUCCCCAAAUGCAUCCCAGGAUCAGCACACUCUGAGCAUGUGCACAGCUCCAGGGCCUGACCUCAGGUGACCACUAGACCCCCUCAACAUUAUGAGCAGUCUUGUGUGGCAUUCACAAAGGCUUCUUCGAAGAGUCAUGGGGGCCACCACAGUCUCUCACCUGCCUCAGUUGCUGUGUUGGCCAAGAAGCAAUAUACUUAGAAAAAAAAUGUCUUGGAGGCUCCAUGAGCAUAUGUACUGCUAGAAAACUCAAUAAUAUAACAGACUGCCCAGCAGCAGAGUCUUGUCCUUUCAAAGCUAUUAGGACCCUGUAAGUAAAGUUGUCACAGGCUGGAAAAGUGCCAAGAGUUGCUGGUUUGGAGACCGCCAUUAAAGACCGCCAUUGUUAAAGUUCAGCACUGAGACCAGGCCGGCAGCUUCUGUGAUGGCUGUGCUGGGUGUGGGCUGGGGAGAGGCCAUCUCAGGGAACACUUCCCUGGAAGCAAUCCUAGCAUACCUUUUGGGAAUCUCUUGGCCCAUAUGCAGGGCUUUCAGGAUCUUGUUCCAGAAACUACAAACCAGGCUCUACCAAAACGACACCAAGUUUAUCCUUCCAGCCUCAGCGUUGCAACUACUAUGUCGUGUGCAAAGGACCUGCACCUCCUUCCUUCUGAAGUUGAGGAGGAGGACAAGUAGGACGGGUUGGUCUUUCUUCACUUGAUGCAGAAGAAUAAAUCUCUCCUUGGGCAGCCUGAUAGGAUUAUUGAGACCCACUAGUCAGAAGACAGACAGACAGACAUAACGGUCCAGAGCAGUCUCUGCCUUCCUUGGGGCUGUAUCCCCUGCACUACCUUGCCAUAUGCACACACAUACAUGCAGACACGCCCACUCGUAUGAGUACAUAUGCAUUGGUAUACACUCGUGUAAGCACAGGGAAGCAAGCCAUGAGCAGCAUGCUCUAUUUUGAAUCCUCUCGUGGUCCGAACACACUCACGCGCACACACAACGUUCACAUACACCACGGAAGCACAGACCCUCACGUAGAUAAGGAUUCUGCUAGUGUUAAACCCAACCGAGGAAGUGACGGAGACAGAGGUAUGAGCAGAAGAUGUAAUCUGCCACUCUGUGCUGAGCUGGCUGUCAUGGCUGAUUCCCACUGACCGGGGUUAAUAAACGUCUAAGGCCUUCACGGGGAUACCUCUGGGCAUGUGAGCUUCCUGAGCAAGGAGGGAAGACCUUUCUUCAAUGUGGGCAGCAGUAGCCUACGGUUAGAGUCUUGAGUGUUAGAGAAUCUUGAACUGCCCAGCUCCAUGACUGGUGUUCCUGAGAGCCCCAGGCUAACAGCUGGGAAACUGCCUCUGAAGAGCUGAAUGCAGGACAAACUUGCAGAAACAUCCUCGAAUCCUGAGCUAGGGCAAAAAGGGGUCCCAGAAGCUGGACCGUCUGAAAUCGUAAAGCCACCCUAAGCCGGUAAGCAGCACGGCCAGUGUUUGCAGUACAAUCCUGCACAUUCUCCGGAGAAAUGGGCACGGAGCAGUACUUAACCGUUUACUCUGCUGUGACAAAACACAAGACAAAAGCAAGUAGGGGGGGCUGGGGAUUUAGCUCAGUGGUAGAGCGCUUACCUAGGAAGCGCAAGGCCCUGGGUUAGGUCCCCAGCUCCGGGAGGGGAAAAAAAAAAAAAAAAAAAAAAGAACCAAAAGCAAGUAGGGGACAGGAAGGUUUGUUUUGGCUCACACUUGCGCGAUGGCGUCAUCACCACGGUAGGAGCAGCAUGGUGGGAGCUGAUGAGCCUGGUCACCUGGCAUCUCCAGUCAGGAAGCAGAGCGAAACGAAUGCUGCUCACCAGCUCUGCUCCUUGUUUUUCUUCAGUUUAGGAACCCAGUGCAUGAGAGGAAGCUGCCGUCACUCAGAGCAGCUCAUCACCACUCAGCCAAACCUCUCUGGAAAUUCGGUCACAGACACAUGCGGAAGUGUGUUUCCCAAGUGAUUCCGAAUCCCACCAAAUUGACAAGAUCAACUGUUACACAUAGUCACGUGACCUGUCCCUUGCCUGACUGAAAACCGACUGUUGUCAGUCAUGCUAUGCAACAGAGUAAAAAUUGCCUUUCUUUAUAAUUUUGAUAUCGUGGGGCUGGAGAGAUGUCUCAGUGGCCAUGAGCACCUACCGCUCUUGCGGAAGACCUGUGUUCAGUUCCCAGAAUCCACAUGGUGGCUCACAACCAUUCGAGACUCCAGCUCUAGGAAAGCCUAGUCCCUUUUCUAGUUUCCACAAGUACCAGGCCUACCCACAAGAUACAUACAUACAUGCAGGCACUCACACCUACACAUAAAACAAAGACAAAUUUUUUUAAAGAUAAUUUUGAUAUUGGGCUUAUUAGAAACUUGAGUUUUAUUAAAAAAUACAUUGCAUCUUCAAAGGUUGCACUAAAAUGGUAUUUAUCUGGAUCUCUGAGGUUUUGGUCCUCAUUAGAUUUUUGCACAGGAGUGAAUGUCUCUCUUGUUUCUUAAAGCUUUAACCCUGGGCAACUCUAGUGAAUGCUCUUUGUUCUUGUCUCGUUAGGUGUUUGGUGGGUCUGGCAGUCCCGUCUUUGUCCUUCCUCAAGUAUACCCUGUUCAGAUAGAUAGAUAGAUAGAUAGAUAGAUAGAUAGAUAGAUAGAUAGAUAGAUGGAUGGACGGACGGACGGACAGACAGACACAGACAGACAGAGAUUAAAAACAAAAAAAAAAAGCAAACACUGUAGUAUACAAAGAAAAAAACCAGCCUUGGGCAUCCAGAAUAGUGUCUGGUAGUGAGCUCUCUUAGUACAGUGUAUCACAGAGAAAGGAGCCUCCCUUGAGGAAAUGCCUCCAUGAGACCCAGCUGUAAGGCAUUUUCUCAAUUAGUGAUCAAGGGGAGAGGGCCCAGCCCAUUGUGGGUGGUGCUGUCCCUGGGCUGGUGGUCCUGGGUUCUGUAAGAAAGCAGCUGAGUAAGCCAGAGGAAGCAAGCCAGUAAGUAACAUCCCUCCAUAACCUCUGCCUCAGCUCCUGCCUCCUGACCUGCUUGAGUUCCAGUCCUGACUUCCUUUGGUGAUGAACAGCUAUGUGGAAGUGUAAGCUGAAUAAACCCUUUCCUCCCCAACUUGCUUCUUGGUCAUGGUGUUUUGUGCAGGAAUAGAAACCCUGACUAAGACCCAGUGCAAAAACAGUUUGAAUUACUGAGUCUCAGGACAGUGUAGUGCGAGGAGUGUUGUAGGAAUCUGUCCGUGUGUGUGUGUGUGUGUGUGUGUGUGUGUGUGUGUGUGUGUGUGUGUUGGGGGUGGGGAGGCAGCUGUGAUCCUGCUCUUGCAGAUGCACACAGGGGAGCUGGGAGGGAGAUACAAACAAGAUUCGACCCUAAUGGAGAAGCUUUCUUCACAGAGGAGCUUGCAGGGCUGUGAUGAUGCUUUCUUCUUUCUCUGCUUUGGGGCAGGCUCCAGCUCUUUUCAGCUCAUGUGUGACUAGUGGUAUUGCAGCAAGGGAGGAGGGCCCAGCCCUCCAGGUACUCCUGAGCGCUCACCGGAGUUGCUGUGUGUCUGCCUGCUGUAGCACUAGAAACACAAGUGGAUCAUAAUAAUGUGGUUGAAAGAAAGGAAGAGGGGAGGGCGGAAGGUGGAAGAAAGGAAGGAAAGGGCAGAGGGAGUGAGGCAGCAAGGGGAGUGGGGAAUGGAGGGAAAGGGAAGGAGCAAACCCGGCAAGGUAAUCAAAACCCAGAAAAAGUCUGAGAAACUUUUAUGGUGUGAGGAACCUGAGGAGGAUUCUGACUCUGGCCUGAGGACUGCUGAAUUACAUGUUUGUGAUGGACAGCCAACUCAGCAAGGAGCUGAGCAUGAACAGUAGACACAGUAAAGGUGUGAGGAUAGACCCUGGACACAGCGGGGACAUCAGGAUGGACACUGGGCACUGUGAGGGCAUCAGGAUGGGCCCUAGGCACAGUGAGGACAUCUGGAUGGACUCUGGGCAUGGUGAGGAGAUCAGGAUGGACCCUGGGCAUAGUGAGGACAUCAGGAUGGACCCUGGGCACAGUGAGGACAUCAGGAUGGACCCUGGGCAUGGUGAGGAGAUCAGGAUGGACCCUGGACACAGUGAGGACAUCAGGGUGGACACUGGGCACAGUGAGGGCAUCAGGAUGGACCCUGGGCAUAGAGAAGACAUCAGGUUGGACCCUGGGCACAGUGAGGACAUCAGGAUGGACCCUGGGCAUAGAGAAGACAUCAGGUUGGACCCUGGGCACAGUGAGGAGAUCAGGAUGGACCCUGGACACAGUGAGGACAUCAGGAUGGACCCUAGGCACAGUGAGGACAUCAGGAUGGACCCUGGGCACGGUGAGGACAUCAGGAUGGACCCUGGACACAGUGAGGACAUCAGGAUGGACCCUGGGCACGGUGAGGACAUCAGGAUGGACCCUGGGCACAGUGAGGACAUCAGGAUGGACCCUGGACACAGUGAGGGCAUCAGGAUGGACCCUGGACACAGUGAGGACAUCAGGAUGGACCCUGGACACAGUGAGGACAUCAGGAUGGACCCUAGGCACAGUGAGGACAUCAGGAUGGAUCCUGGACACAGUGAGGACAUCUGAAUGGACCCUGGACACAGUGAGGACAUCAGGAUGGACCCUGGACACAGUGAUCUGAGGAUAGACGUGGACACAGUGCCAACCUGAAGAUGGACACUGGAUGUGGUAAGGACCUAAGAAGGGACACUAGACAUGGUGAGGUCAUGAAGACAGACAGUGGAUACACCCACGGGGUGAACUCAGGAAGGACGAGAGGGCUUCUUGGGCAGUAACCCUUCUCCUUAAAGCCUCCUGAUUCUUCCUCUGGUGACUGGUCUGCAAUGCCUGGACACCUCCUUUGAUGAACUGCCAUCCCCUAAAAUCAAUAGCCCCCGCUUCUUCAAGCAAAGUCUGGGUCACCACUUGAUUAUAGCUGCUGAGGAAAGUUCAAGGAAGUCAUUUCUGUAAUUCAUCCCUCUGUAUUAUUCGUUGGCAUCUGCUGUAAAGCAAGCUUUUUAAAAAAAAAUCUACAGCCCAGCUCCCAUGAAAUAAAUACAUUUGCUAUUGGAUAGACAAUAGUAACUAUA